CUUCUCUCUCUCUCUCUCUCUCUCUCUCUCUCUCUGUGUGUGUGUGUAUGUAUGUGUGUGUGUGUGUGUGUGUGAGAGAGAGAGAGAGAGAGAGAGAGAGGAG